AUAGCUUCCAUCCCAAACACUGCCAAGUCUAUGACCCAAGUUACAUCCAGUGCCCGAUUUCGGCCUAAUAGCUUCCAUCCCAAAAACUGCCAAGUCUAUCACCCAUGUUACAUCCGGUGCUCGAUUUCGGCCGAAUAGCUUCCAUCCCAAAAACUGCCAAGUCUAUCACCCAUGUCACAUCCGGUGCCCAAUUUCGGCC
rnacentral:lncRNA from 1 species